rnacentral:lncRNA from 1 species
UUCAUCAAAAAAAUAUCGAUAAAUAAUAACCCCCAAUGUCUUAUUUACAGGGAUGAAAUCUCAUAGAAAAUGUUGAUUCCACUAUAUAUCCACAACUAAGUUACAAAACAAUAUGAAGGUCUCCUAGUACAAGGUGCAGGGGUCACACACUGAUGGCGACUACUGAUUCAAUUCUAUCACAAUGACUUCAUUAUCAAAAUCAUCCACUACAAUCUCCAGAAAAUCAACCUUAUAUG